rnacentral:rRNA from 1 species
AUUGAACGCUGGCGGCAUGCCUUACACAUGCAAGUCGAACGGCAGCACGGGUGCUUGCACCUGGUGGCGAGUGGCGAACGGGUGAGUAAUACAUCGGAACGUACCUUAUCGUGGGGGAUAACGCAGCGAAAGCUGAGCUAAUACCGCAUACGCCCUGAGGGGGAAAGCGGGGGAUCGCAAGACCUCGCGCGAUUAGAGCGGCCGAUGCCUGAUUAGCUUGGUGGUGGGGUAAAAGCCCACCAAGGCGACGAUCAGUAGCUGGUCUGAGAGGACGAGCAGCCACACGGGGACUAGGACACGGCCGAGGAGCCUGCGGGAGGCAGCAUUGGGGAAUUUUGGACAAUGGGGGCAACCCUGAUCCAGUAAGGCCGCGGGAGUGAAGAAGGCCUUGGGGUUGUAAAGCUCUUUUGUCAGGAAAGAAACACCUGCUCUAACACAGUCCGGGAAUGACGGUACCUGAAGAAUAAGCACCGGCUAACUGCGUGCCAGCCGCCGCUGUAA